rnacentral:lncRNA from 1 species
AGUUUGAAAAGUAGCCUGGAAUAAGGAAAAAAUAUGUUCGGAAUACGUGGUUGUAUUACUGAUUUCACUUAUAUCUUUAUUGCUACAGUAAUGAGGCAUUAGCUCUUUUACUAAAGUGGAUCAUUAUUUACCUUUUAAUUUUUGAGUCUGUGCCUGAGGAGUUUCAAGAAAUUCCCCAUACCCUGGAAUUUUUGAACAUUGAAUGCAUUUGGAUCAGAUCACACACUGUGAUUUUUAGCUGUCUUUCAGGAGUUUUGUGCAAGUAGAUGGAGGCAAUGGGAGGCCUAUAUGAAGUUCUAACCGGCUAAAGUUGAUGAUGCUGAAUGUCACAGGUAAAACAUUCUGCAUUGGCUGAGUUAAGAGAUUACACUGAACCAAGCAAGUUUAGGGAUAUGGCAGUUGUCUUCACUUUUGUUUCCUGUCAUUGUUGUUGAGGGUUACCUUGCGAUUUAACCAACAUCCUGAUUACAAGACCAUUCCCUACAAGAAGUAUGGAGAUUUGUUUGCUGCACCGCUUGAAGACUGGCUGAUGCAUUCUGGGAGAUCAUGAGCCAUAGGAUGUGAUGGAGAGCAAGACAUGAAGGAAUUCACUUCUUACCUAGUGUUUGUUGCAGUCAACUCACCAGAAUAAAAGUAGGCUUCCAGAGCUGUUUGUCUGAAAU